rnacentral:rRNA from 1 species
UGGGGAAUUUUGCACAAUGGGGGAAACCCUGAUGCAGCGACGCCGCGUGAUUUAGAAGGCCUUCGGGUUGUAAAAAUCUUUUCUAUGGGAAGAAAAUGACAGUACCAUAGGAAUAAGGACCGGCUAAUUACGUGCCAGCAGCCGCGGUAAUACGUAAGGUCCGAGCGUUGUCCGGAAUCAUUGGGCGUAAAGGGUACGUAGGCGGGUAAGCAAGUUAGAAGUGAAAUCCUGUAGCUCAACUACAGUAAGCUUUUAAAACUGCUCAUCUUGAGAUAUGGAAGGGAAAGUGGAAUUCCUGGUGUAGCGGUGAAAUGCGCAGAUAUUAGGAGGAAUACCGGUGGCGAAGGCGACUUUCUGGCCAUAAUCUGACGCUGAGGUACGAAAGCGUGGGUAGCAAACAGG